ACCAACCAUCCUGGUUUGCCUGGGAAUGAGGGAAUUCCUGGCACAUGGGAUUAUCAAUGCUAAAACUGGCCAAGU
rnacentral:miRNA from 1 species